ensembl:lncRNA
AAGGAACAGAACCUAGUCAGGAUUUGGACUUUGGCACCUAACCAAUGGUCCAGGUAACUCAAGUGGAGACAAGUACAAAUUCCAAAUUAAGCUGGUGAUAAAUUUACAGACCAGCAUGGAGUUUCUCCCUCAGCCUGCAGUCAGGGCUUUUAAAAUGAUGAAGGGUCUGAAUACAUGAUUCAAAAUAAUCUCAGGAACCAGCACAGAGUUCAGAAGCUUUCUCAGUGCUGGAGAGAUCGAUGGGGUUUGAAAUGAGCUAUCAUAAAUCAAGGGUGAGAAGCAAGUCCUGCUUCUGGCUGGGGAGGCUUGGUGUGAGCAGUCAUCUAAGAGGCCGUAGGGCAGAGGUCUUUCUUUAGGGAGAGCCGUGCAGCUCCAGUGCAGGGCUGGUAUUCAGGAAGAAGUCUUUGGAAGAGCACACUUCUGCCUAAAGCAGCACAAGAAGACCCGGUUCCCAUCAGACUUGGGCACCAGAGAAGGUGGUCAGAGAAGCUUUACCUGAAGAGAUGACUUUUGAAUGAUGAUUUGAACAAACAGAAAGAGACAACUGAACCAGAAUCUGGGGAAAGUGGUCCAGAGCAAGAGGGAAGAGCACAUGGACAUCCUUAAGGAGACUGAAGUCUGUAUCUGAUAUGGUUCAUUGUUCCACAGUCUGAAUGAAGCACAGUGCUGUGUCAAUACUUAGAAAAAUCAUCCUGUUAUGAAGGAUGGGGAUAAGGAUAUGUUUUACUUCCAUCAACAUCAAAGCUGCAGAACUAUUCAAGUCUUUGAAUGAUUACCUAACAGGAAAACUGAAUUGGUUGUUUCGGCUCAGUAUACACAUGGAUGGAGCAGCUGCCAUGCCUGGAUGCCUUUCUGGUUUCACUACUUGCGCCAAACAGAUAUCUUCUGAUUGUGAGUCUAUGCACUAUGUCAUCUAUAAAAGAAAUGCUGACUAGCUGAAAAUGGCAGUGAGAAACAUUUUCUAGGAUCUGACUAAAAUUAUCAACCACAUUAAAGUGUAUGCCCUUAACUCAUGUCUGUUCAUGUGAUUCUGAGAAGAGAUGAUCAUGGAACAUAUGAGCCAUCUCAUGCACAGAAGUGAGGUGGCUUUCUAAUGACAGAUUACUGGUUAUGAGAGCUACUUCAAAGAUUUCUUUUAGAAAAACAGUCACGGGUGAAGAACAUUUCAGUGACACAGAAUGGGUCAUGAAACUUGCUUACUCAUGUGACGUAUUCUGCCUGCUCAAUGAACUCAAUUUAUCACUUUAGGGGAGAUUGACAACUGUGUUCAAGUCUGCAGAUAACGUGGAUGCAUUCAAAGCCAAACUGAAAUUGUGGAUGUGAGAACUUGAGGCAUCACAUCUGUAACUGUCUACAAGCCUGCAAUGAUGGAAUCCCACUGCAAAAGGGUUGAAUGCUAUUUCCGGUGAGAGCUGGAACAGAAGGCUCAGCUGCUGGAGCUCCCAGGCCAGCCCUUACCCAACCAGGCUGAGAGGAGGGACCUGUGAGUUCAUAUUCUGACUGAGCUGCAUACUGCUGUGAGGUCUUUGGCAACUGACACUGCAUCACUGAGCCUAGAGUUCGGCAUCUGUUGGGAAUGAAUAAUGUAAAUUUCUACUUCCGGGUAUUAUUUUGAGGAUUCAAUGAGAUUUCCUGUCAAACAUCCCUGGUGCAGAGUUGGCUCAAUAAAAGGUGUUGAUGGUGAUGGUGAUGAGCUGGCCUCCAGCUGUUCCUAGACCUGGUAGCAGGGCCAGGUGGAAGUCAGCCUCAGGUCUGAGACACAUGGCCUCUUACAAAUUUGUGGUUGCUGUGUCAACACUUCCAGCUCACUUUUCCACAUUUUUGUGGAACAUGUCUAGGGCAAUACUCGAAUGACAUCAAUAUUUUCACUUCCAUGAUGCCAACCUGUCUUCCUCACUCUCAUUAAAGUUAUUAUGUUCAUUUCAUAUGUGAAACAACUAAUGCUUGUAGAGGUCAAAGUCACAUGCAAUGUGAAUGAGGCAGAACUAAGAGUAUCUAGUAUUUUGAGCUGAGUUCUUUGUUCAUAAAGUAAAACUGUAAAAAUAAUUCCCAUUAAAGCAUAGAUAACUGAAGUCCAUUAAAAUACUAAAAUAAUAGAUCCCAGAGAGAUAGUUAAGAACAAAAUGUUUUCUGCCUUUGGGGAACUUUCAGAAUUUUACCCAACCUCUGAAAAUCCAUGAAAGAUUAAUUGCCGAGCCAGGCAGGUGGAAGGGUCAUGGGACUUUGGAGAGAAGGGCAGACCAUGGAAAUUUCUGGCUGGGUCUCUGUAUGGUUUAGUUUGCUGGAGCUAAAUGCUAUGUUUCCUAAAGGUUGGGCAAUAGGCAGCAUGACCAUGGUACUAGGACUAUUUCUGCCAUGGAUGUUCUCUGGUUCUCUGUACUCAGCAUGUCUGCACAUAUCCUGGGAUUUUGACCAUCAUGAGUCAAGGAGGACCAAGAUGAAGAGCCUGUUGAGCCAAUAUACCUGUUCAGAAAUUUCCGUGUGCACAUAGAGGCUGUGCCUCUUCCUGACAUAUCAAAACCCAAGCUCAUACUUGAACUCAUGUACACAUAUAUCCCAGACUUUACUUCCUUCAUCACUUGUGAAGGGACUUUGCACUGUCUUUGCCAUCACCACUGGAUUUCUUCAUUGCUUCUUAUGCCCCCUUUUUUCUUGGUGUCUCCAUUGCUCAGUUCUGCCCAUGGCCCUGAAUUUCACAGGUUAUCUGUGCUCCAGGCUUACUGUGAUUGCUCUUGCCGCCACAUGUGGCUGCUCUUCCACUUUAUCAUCAAAGAUCCCUGUGGGGAAUCCACCUGGUUCAGGUGUUGAAGUCACUUAAGUCCUGACUUUGAAUCAGGCACUGCUGUUCCUCAGCACCAAUCCAUCUCCUGGUAGUUUCAGCUCAUUUGUUAUUUCUUGGUCACAGCAUGGUCUUGACUAUAUUCUCCACUCCCUGCUUAUUAAGAUGUUCCACAAGGAUGCAUAAAAGGUAGUGAUGCAUUUUAGUUUUAAAAUAUGUGCUCAGCUGAUCUAUAAUUCUGCUCCAGGUGAAUUUCAGACACAUUUCUGUUUUUGACUCUUGUUGAUGUUGGGGUCUUGUGCUGUACUAUUAAGCUCCCUUUGCUUAUAAAAUAUUAUUUUCAGUACAUAUCAGGGCCUGCUUCACAGAAAUGUGAGCACUAGGCUGAAGAAAGGGCAAGUUCAACAAGACUAGGGUAAGAGAGAGCACUGAGUUGGCAUCUCAGCCCAGUUACUUACUAGUAGUGCAAACUUGGUCAAAUUAAUUAGCAUCUUUGAAACUUCACUUACUUAAUGAGAGUAUCAAUGUUUUAAUUGAAGAUUGAAUGUAGUACUGUCUGAAAAGGAUUUGGCUCAUACUAAGUGCUUGAUAGCCACAUAUCUCUCUUUCUUGACCCAUAUGAUAAUAAUUUUUGAGUAUUUGGAUAAAAAUGUCAAGCAAUGGAUGACAUCAUGGACUAAGGAUAUCAUUCAUAAGACCCAAGCAGAACAAUAAACUGAGAUUCUGCUUAGACCUUGAGUCUCCAGCUCUCCUGACACAGUAAUUUGGAUAGCAGUAUGUGAGUCAGUUCCUCCAUUGGUGUUUGGAUAAGGAUACUACUAGCUAUUUCUGGGGUGGUGACAGAGUCUUACAGUGGUAUAUAGAAAGCACCUAGCACUGAAUCUAGCACACAGAGGAUGCUCAAUGAAUAUUAAUUCAUUUUCCUUUUAUUCAGAGCUGGCAGGAAGUCAGGCCAACUAGGCAUAUCCUGUAGGUGCAAAGUAAUCUUGAAGCUAUUGGGCUGAACUAUGUUGAAUAGAUUCCUGGGCAGAGGGUGGCUGUGUCCUACAGCUGUGGUGUAAGGUGGCUCCAGUAGAUGUCUCUGUGAUACAGGCACCUGCAGGUCCUUAGGAUGGCCCUAUGGAUUCAGGGAGUAGAAAUGAAGGCUGUGAAAUUUGGGCACAUCAUCUGGCUAGAAAAUGUUUACAAGGAUGAACAGGACCCAAGGAGAACAAGCAUUGGAAUUUGAGUUACAUUAAAGGACAAUGAAUAAAGAAAGAAAAGAGAGAAGGGGUUCUUUUUCAGGAAAAAAGAGUAAAUUCAUAUCUUAAGAGCAGAGUGGAUGGCUGUAAAAGAACACUUUCAGAUAAAGGAAGAGGGUGUACUUAAUCUGGCUCAGGAUCUGGGAGCUUAGAAGAGGUUCAAGUGGACACAGGCGUUGAAUACAAACUCUCUUCAUUCCCUAUUGUCACCUACAUUUUUAAUAGUCUUUUAGUCUUUUUAUGUCACUUGAAAACCAUGGUAUAUGUUUCAAUGCCUUUUCCUGGCUUGUUCACAAAAGAACAAGUGUAGGUAGGCUUGAGUACUUCCUUUAUUUAAGAGAGAAACUCCUUCAUGUGGUGUUAGAAUUUGGAGAAGUUGCAGAGAGUUGCAAGAGCAGCUUGAAGCUUAAAUAGCUCUUGAUGUGUGUACACAGAUGUGUCCCUUGGGUUUUCCAUCCUGUGUGCCCUGCAUUUUCUUGCUGAAGGCAUACACAGCUCUGAGAAAUUGUGGGGCGUGAGACUUAAUUAUGAUAUGUCAACUUGAAUGGAUUAAGAAAUGCCUAGAGGAUCAGUGGAGCAUGGUUCUGGAUAUGUCUAGAUGAUUGACAUGCAGACCAUAAAUGGAGGAGGAAAGACCUGCCCAGCUGUGGGUGGCAUCUACCACCAGGGUUGUAGCCUGGAUGGAACAGAAAAGGAAAGAAGAGGGAAGUCUUUCUUUUUACUUCUUCGGUCUUUGCCAUUGUCUUUGGAUGUUUGUCUUCAGCUCUUUCAAGCUUCCAGCACAGACUCUUCAGACUCCCAAUGCAGAUCCUUAGGUUUUAUGACACAGACUCAUACCAGACUCUGCAGUGAAUCCAGGUCUUUCACCUUUGACUGGAUCAUCCAGUCUCCAGAGCAUCAAAGGCUACUUUGCAUUCUUCCACCUUUGAUUCUGCAGGCAGGUGUCUUAGGUGUACUUAGUAAAUCCUUAAUAUAUGAAAUAUAUAAAAUCUGUUUCUCUAGUGAACCCCAACUGAUAUAUGGGUGAUGCAGUUAGGGUAUUCAGUGGUCAAGACAAUCAUGGGAUGUUUUGGGGUGAGGACCUAGAACUGUAGCUAUGCAGAUGAAAUUGGAUAUUCUGGCUUCAGACAGGAGAGUAUCCUGUUGUUCUUUGUUCCUGGAAUGUGCUGGUCAUGGGUCUGUGAAUGUAGCUUCCAAAGGAGAAGUUCAUCUGACCCUUUAUCACUACCCAGGAGUCAGUGACUCUGGGUGAGCCUAUGUUAGAUGCUCAGAGCUCUGUAGAGCUGGGAGAAAUAUAGGGAAAAGCAGGCAAAUUUCCUGUGCUUAAUGAGACUUCUAUCUCUCUACUUUCUUGAAGUGGUUAGUAAAUGAGUUAGCAGGUAACUAACUGCUAAUUUGGAGAUCAAAGCUUAGGCUAAAUGAACUACAAGAAACAGCCAUGUGCUGGGGGUCCAGGUGAUGUAGAAAAGUUGGAAGAAAUUGAAAGUAAGCAGGGAAAAGAUUAGGCUUUAAAGGUACAAGAAGUGUGGUAUGGGAGGGACAGAGGAGCAGUCUGGCUAGAGCCCCUGAGUGUGGACUGCAGAGUGGAGUUUACACUGGUAGAAGGUAAAUUAAGGCUUCUAAUAACAUUAAAAAUUAUAAAAAACAUUAAAAAUUAAAAAGAAUAUCCAGCUGUCACUGUUUCAGGCAGCACAGUAUCACUGGGGACAUCUAUGUUUUAGAAACUUACUCUGCUUUUUUUCAACCAUGUCCAAACAAGUCCUCACCACACUGGAACUUGAGGUUUCUGAGUUAUUUCCCUCUCCCUGUCUUUGACACAUAUUCUCAACUGAUCUUUGAUUUCAAAUGAUAGCAGGAGGCUAUGACAGAGAAAAGGGUGGAAAAUGAGGGUGGAAAUGAGAUGAUCAAAGUAGGAAUAUUGGUAGGAAGGCUCCAACAGCAAUUUAGGCAUAAGAUGACACAGGCCUGACCAAAGGGAUAGUAAAUGUCUACAUAAAGGUGGGGGAUCUGAACUAAGCACAUCUAUAACCAUAGUAUUCUAUAGACUGAGGUCAGAGGAUCUAAAGUUUGAGCUCAGCUAGGCAAGUUAAUGACUUAGUGAGAUUCUGUCUCACAAAAAGGAGGUGGUGAUACAGCUCAGUGUAAAGGCCCUAGAUUCAAUCCCCAGAACUAGAAAUGAGUGGGGAGGGAAGAGGAGAGGAGAGGAGAGGGAGGAGAGGAGAGGAGAAGAGAGGAGAAAAAGAUGAAGCUCUCUCCAUGGGGUCAGUUGCAGGCUUGGGACCAGCUCGAUGCAGGCGAUGAUGCCUUCAUCUAGAAAAGAUUUCUAGCUUUGAUGCUUGAGUCCAUUGUUGGAUUCCUAAAAGAUAUGAAAACUUAGACAUGUAAUCAACUUCAGAACUGAAAAUUUAGAAUGCUAAGAAAAAAAUGGCUAUAAGAUAAUGGGUAUAAUUUGAACUGUGGUGAUGUUUAAAUAAUGACCAACAUGCAUGUGGAAAUCCAGCAGGCAUUUGAAAAGGUGGACAUGUAUCUGUAGGAGAUGAAGCUUUAUGUUUGGAGAUCUCUAAAGUGUCAGCCACAAGCCUGAGGCAUGGUGGAGACAAAUAGGGAGCAGGCAGAGCACAGGUCAUGGCUUAGUCACAAAGUAAAUGGCUGAAGAUGAAGAACUUGCCCAUUAUCAGAAAAAUCUGAAGACUGAACUCCUUGACUCUAAUUUGGGAUGCUCAUUUCCUGCCAUUCCUGUAUUGGUUUCCUGAAAAUUACCCACUGGGGGGGAUACAAAGACCAUAAAGCAGCCUUCUUGAUACAAAAAGCAGAUUACAGCUACCCCAUGGGAUCACUGUAGGCUCUGAAUGAUUGGAGAUCAUCUAAUAUAUCUGCUUCCAUCUGAUGAAUAGAGAAACUGAGGCCUAGGGUCAAACUUGUACAUUUAAUGAGGGCAGGUAAGAUACUACCCAGCUCAAGAACAUCAGACUUAAUGCUUGUACUUGUCCCCUUGCAAAAACAAUGUGGGUCAUUGUUCAACAGCUCAAAUGCUGGCAUCAAGAAGGCCUAGGUUUGACUCAUAGCUUACCACCUAGUAGGUCUGAGAACUGGACAAAAUUUCCUUGUAAAAUAUAAAUAAUAAGAUUAGCAACAAUGUUAAGUCUCUUCAUAGUUUGCAGGGGGUGACAUAAUCUGGAUGCUGAGCACAUUACCACCACACCAGCACCCAACAAAUUCAUUCAUUCAUGCUUCAACUUAAGAAAAGCUAGUCCCAGGGAGAGAAGGAGUAGAAAGGGUCAGACUGGCCUUGGGGUAUGAAGGUGCUUUCUAGAUUAAACUGAAAAGUAUGUUAUUCCAAGACAACUGGAGGCUGCUUCUCAGGAGAGAGGCAGCCCUGUAUUCAGAGAAGGAGCUAUGGUCAGUCGUGGGAACCAAUAGGAACAUGCAGAGGAAGGAAGCAGCAGAGAGACCACAGGCUGAACAAGUGAGAAGAAUGAAGAGGUCUGAGUGGCUAUCUCAGAACUAGGACUGUGGAAGGCACAUGGCUGCUUAAUCUUCCUGACAGUGGAACUGCUUCAACCAACAAGGUGAGCUCCACUGAGGGAUGGGAGUAAAAGCUACUUGUCACACUUUUCAUGCAGUGCAGAUCUGCAGGCCAAAAUUUCUCCUGGAAAACCGACUUCAUCUCUGGUUCAUACACUUACUUUCCUUUGCUUCCACAUUCCCCAUUCCUGAUGUCCCUUGUAGUUACACUUGCCCAAGGUCUACCUUAUUUGAGUUUCUCUCUGAACUUCCUAAAUCCUGGUGAAAAAUUAAUGAGCAAGAAGUUCUAAAACUGGAGAUGCUGUACUGGCAUGGACAUUUCACCCCUUACAGAAGUGAAUCCACUCAUUUUCUUUUCUCAUAUUAGGUGUUGUUUUAGUCCUUUUUGUGUUGCUAUAACAAAAUGCCUGAGGCUGGGUAAUUUUAAGAGAACCUACAAUAAUUUCUUACAGUUUUGUAGGCUGGAAAAUCCAAAAUCUUGGCAGUAUGAAGAUUUUUCUGCUGCAUCACAACAUGAGAAAAAGGCAAAAGAACUCAUGAGACAGAUAAAAUUUAUUUCCAUGUUAACACCAUUAAUCUAUUCAGGAUGGUAGAGCCCCCUGAUCUCGUGGGCCUCUUAUAGACUCCUAUCUCCUAAUAUUAUCAUGGUGAAAAUUAAAUUUCAACCUGAGUUUUUAAAGUGGACAUGCAAACCAUUGCAAUCUAAGGCUAAUGGCAUCCACAGCACCAAAGAAUCUCACAGCUUCUUUACAUUUGGCAUGAACAUUAACAUUUACUGUCCUUGGCUGCAGCUAAAGGAUUUUAGAAUUCACCUACUUGUUAAUUUUCCAGGACAUUUAACUGUAUAGGAAACACUAAGGUCAAGGAACUUUCUCAUAGAUAUUUGUGGCAUUAUGUGAAAUUUACUUUGCAAUAAAAAAAAUGAUCUGACACACUGCAGUGGAGUCAGACAAAGGAGGUUAAGGAAUACUCCCUCAUGAAAAAGGAAGGGAUAGACAUUCACGGAGUACAUUAUAGGAGCCCAAUUCAGAAUUAGCUGUAUCACAUUGAUUUUCUGAUGCUUCCUACAACUCUUGGGCUAGAGGAUAAUGUCUCAGUUUUAUAGCCUCUCACCCAUUAAGAGGUAGAGCUAGAAUUUGAAACCAAAUCUGUUAAACCAAGCCUAACCACUAAAUCAAAUUGCCUUGUAUUUAUUUAUUUAUGCACAGAGGCAAUAAAAUCAGAAAAUAUUUUUCAUAGGUACUGUCUCCUGGAGUUAAAAAAUGAUACCCAAACGUAACACAUUUCAGCCCUGUAUUCCUGUCAUCAAACAUUCCUCAAUGACAGCUAGUUGCACCUGUCACCCUCCUACCUUGAGAAGAGUGAAGAUGAGAGUUUCCAUGAAAGAUUUAUAGAUUCACAAGGUGCAAUUAGAGAAGCAGUCAGGGCAGAGUUCAAGCUCUAGUUCUCCAAGUUCUCUGUGCCAAUAAAUCCUCCAGCCCUGCUCUGUAGUCACACUGAUUUGUUUUUAGCAGGAUGGAAAAGUCCACAAAUGGCUUCCAUGUGUCUUUUAUUCCAUGUUUUCUAUCUCACAAGAUUGGGUGCAUUCAGGGUGAUAUGGCUAUAGACUCAUGUUUUCUAUCUGAUAUGAGCCCACACUGUGAUAGGUACUGGGAUGCAGGAGAUGGUCCCUGCCAAGUAGCAAAAAUAUAUAAUUGAGUCAUGAUGGAGCCCUGUGAUGUGUGUCUCAUUGCUGGCCACAUAGGGAGGGAGUCACUGGCUCUGCUUAGGGGAGAAGCUGCUUGGGGGUGGGUGUGUCUGGUUCAGUGACAAGAAACAUAUAUCCAUAGGACUUCUCAGGAAUGACAGGCAGAACCUGAUCUUCCAGGGCUUUGUGUAACAGGUUAGUGAGAAUGUAAUUUAUCUUUUCACUGAGGAGACCCACAAAAGGUCUGGCUUGGUCCCAACCCAUGUUCUCCUGUGUCCUCACAUCCAAUUCUCUCUGUCAGACUGAACUGCACCCCUGUGCUGUGAUGUGGGAAAGAUGGGCACUUCAUGGAAACAGGAGAUUCCCAGAGAGCCUUGCCACUCAGCUUGUCUGACCAGGUGUCCCCAUUGCUACAAUCAAUUUCUUCCAGGUUAUGAAGAUCCUGUUCUGAUCUGCCUUGGUCUGGGAAGAACUCUUGAUUCUUCAGAACUAGAGUUUGGCCCCUAAGCACCAGCCUAGUGCCUGGUCUUAUUAAUGAUCCCAUUCUGGAGAUGAGUAGCAGUCAUCCUGAAUUCUUGGGCUCUGUCUGACUUGAAAACAGUAAGGUACCGCUCUAUAGUACAGUAGGAUAAUUAUAAUUAACAAUUUAGUACAUAUUUCAAAAUGGCUAGAAGAUAAUUUGAAUGUUUUCAACACAAAAAUAGAUGUUCAAGAUGAUGGACGUACUAAUGGCUCUGAUUUUAUCAUUGCAUAUUGUACAGUGGUGUUGAAAUAGCAUACUUUAUCCUAUGAAUAAGUAUGAAUAUCAUUUAUUAAAUGAAACUUUAAAUGAAAGAAAGGACAGAAAACACUUAAUCCAAUAGAGUGUGACAGAGCUGUAACAAAGGUAAAAAUAAUUCAGAGGAGGAAGGGGAAGGUGAGAUCCUUGGCAUACCACAGCAGGUUCAUAUGUGCUUUUGCUCAUGCCCAGUUGUAACUCUGGAUGCCUGAAGAUGUGCUUGCAGACUUGUUUUCUUUAUACUUGAUGGUUAGUGAAGAUGGAGGGAAGAACUAGAAUUCAGGCUGUGUCAUGAAGCAAAUUUGCUGUCAGAAAGCUACCCUGCUUUCCAGUUCCAGUACCCUGGCCUUCUGAGUCAUGGGCAGCCUACGCUGGAAGGAGGGGAGGACAUGGUAUCUAUUGCACCAGACCAGGGGGUCACAGUGUACACUUUUGGGUGCAGUUCUAUUAAUUUUGUAUUUGAGUAUCACACUUACUGUCUGGGAACUGGUAGAUUCUUAGAACUUGUUGUCACUGGUUUUGGGGAGUUUCCUCAUUUUCUGAGCUUGUUCAUAGACCUUUGAUAGGACAAUGGGGAAAGCUGAUCAGAGGUUACUUGCCAGAUGCUGUCAUAAGCCAGAGCCAGCAGAUGUCAGGCUGAAGCAUGCCCAGCUCCUAGGCACUUCUUUCAUUAUUUUGUCAUGCCCACUCUAGGGCCUUCCAGAAAGACAGAUCAGUGCUUCCAACCUCAGUUCUACUUGCUUUCAGCUAACUCCCUUUUCCCAAAACCCAGCCCACCUGUUCCACCAAGCUCAUUAUUAUUUUUUCCUAAACAUAGACCCCACUCCUAUCUUUCUUAGCCUUAAAUCAUCUCUGACUUUCUCUGUUGUUUCCCUAGGUAUCACAUACCUAUUUUAUUGUUUGGGGGAAAAUAUUUGAUCUUUUAUAACCAGUAGUUUAUUAUCUAUAGGGAAUAUGAUUUCUUUAUCCAACAUAUUUGAAGGGAGUCUAUCAGCUUUGAGCAUUUUUUUUCUUUUGGUUAUAAAUUUUUUGACAAUACAGUGUUAUUGGAGUGCCAGAUUCUCAUUAGAUGAGACAUAGUUAUGUAGUCAAACCAUCAGGUUGGGAGCCUGGAAGCCGCCUGCCUUUUUUCUGGAG